CUUUCAAACUAUAGGAAAACAUUCAUGUUUGAAAACAAGCAUUACCGUAACGAGAGAGUUGUUAAGCAAGCUGUAAUAAAGAGAGACUUUGAUAAUGUGAUUAAGUAUAAAUCACCAUCGUUCUGGCCUUUGAAUAAGAGCUUCCUCAUGGGAAUAUCCUUUAUUAAAAGAAUGCCAAGAAAUAAUUCAAUUACAACAUUGUUACCUUUUGUAAAAGAACAUUUAAACCAUUACAAAGUUUAAAUUACAGAACCAACAUUUGAAAAUAGGAAUACUAGAAUCAUUAUCUAUUGUGACUUGCUCAGGACCAUAAUAUUCAUUAUGAAUGCCAAGGCUGUCCAAAUCUGCAGUAAGAUGUCGAUUUGCAACUAAGUCCACUCAGUCGCUUUUAGUCUCUUGUUGUUACUGCAAAUCCAACUCCACCACGACUGAAUUUCGUUAACUUAGGCAAUGAAUAGUUUAUAGUACCAUAAAUUUUUGGAUUUCGAAUAUGGAUUUCGAAAACAGCGGGGAAGCUUGGCUUGGGAGUUUUUGACAGCAGGGAGCUCGUUUUCGACAUCGGACUUGCGGGAAAAGGGCGGCAGACAGCUGUGCUUGCGGUGGCAGCGACGGAGGAGCUUCUUUCCUCCAAGUCGUCGUCGGUAGUAAGAAGGAAGAAGAAGAAGGCGACGCCGGCGAGGAAGGGAAAGAAGAAGAAGUUUACGGCGGCUGAGGGGAGGUGCAGGCGGCGGAAAUGGAAGGAAGUGGUGGGGAGAGGGGGUGUUAGCGUCUUGGGGUUUGGGGG
rnacentral:lncRNA from 1 species